AACGAACGCUGGCGGCAUGCCUAACACAUGCAAGUCGAACGAACCCUUCGGGGUUAGUGGCGCACGGGUGCGUAACGCGUGGGAAUCUGCCCUUGGCUUCGGAAUAACAGUUAGAAAUGACUGCUAAUACCGGAUGAUGUCGCAAGACCAAAGAUUUAUCGGCCAGGGAUGAGCCCGCGUAGGAUUAGGUAGUUGGUGGGGUAAAGGCCUACCAAGCCGACGAUCCUUAGCUGGUCUGAGAGGAUGAUCAGCCACACUGGGACUGAGACACGGCCCAGACUCCUACGGGAGGCAGCAGUGGGGAGUAUUGGACAAUGGACGCAAGUCUGAUCCAGCAAUGCCGCGUGAGUGAUGAAGGCCUUAGGGUUGUAAAGCUCUUUUACCCGGGAUGAUAAUGACAGUACCGGGAGAAUAAGCUCCGGCUAACUCCGUGCCAGCCGCCGCAGUAA
rnacentral:rRNA from 1 species